rnacentral:rRNA from 1 species
UACGUAGGGUGCGAGCGUUAAUCGGAAUUACUGGGCGUAAAGCGUGCGCAGGCGGUGUUGCACGUCAGAUGUGAAAUCCCCGGGCUUAACCUGGGAACUGCAUUUGUGACUGCAUAGCUGGAGUACGGUAGAGGGCGGUGGAAUUCCGGGUGUAGUGGUGGAAUGCGUAGAGCUCCGGAGGAACACCAGUGGCGAAGGCGGCCGCCUGGGCCUUUUCUGACGCUGAGCCGCGAAAGCGUGGGGAGCGAGCCGG